GUGUCUCUUCGUCCUGGACAACAUCAACAAAACCUCUCUGCUGGUGACGGCCACGCUGCUCUUUCCCAGCUGGAUCUCUGCUACGUCUUCGCGACCAAGCUGGUGCCCAGUCUGAUCCAGAAGUGUCUCAUCCUGCCCAUGUUCAUCAACGUCACACUUAAGUGCUUGACGGAGAUCGCCGGCAUCUUCGUCUCUCAGCAUCGCUGUGCGAGGCGCCUUCAAGGACAUGUUCUGCGGGACGAUGGAGCAUUUUAACGAGAUCCUGCCGCUUGAGACAGACAUCCGCGCAGCCUAUCGGCAAGGGUACGGACGACGAGCCGAAGUUCAUCCAGAACCUGGCGAUGUUCCUGGCAGCCUGCAGCAAGGUGCACGGCCAGCUGAUCCAGAAGACGGCGGA